AGUGAACGCUGGCGGUAGGCCUAACGCAUGCAAGUCGAACGGCAGCACAGUAAGAGCUUGCUCUUACGGGUGGCGAGUGGCGGACGGGUGAGGAAUUCAUCGGAAUCUACUUUUUCGUGGGGGAUAACGUAGGGAAACUUACGCUAAUACCGCAUACGACCUACGGGUGAAAGCAGGGGAUCUUCGGACCUUGCGCGAUUGAAUGAGCCGAUGUCGGAUUAGCUAGUUGGCGGGGUAAAGGCCCACCAAGGCGACGAUCCGUAGCUGGUCUGAGAGGAUGAUCAGCCACACUGGAACUGAGACACGGUCCAGACUCCUACGGGAGGCAGCAGUGGGGAAUAUUGGACAAUGGGCGCAAGCCUGAUCCAGCCAUACCGCGUGGGUGAAGAAGGCCUUCGGGUUGUAAAGCCCUUUUGUUGGGAAAGAAAAGCAGCAGGUUAAUACCCCGCUGUUCUGACGGUACCCAAAGAAUAAGCACCGGCUAACUUCGUG
rnacentral:rRNA from 1 species